rnacentral:rRNA from 1 species
UACGUAGGGGGCGAGCGUUGUCCGGAGUUACUGGGCGUAAAGCGCUUGUAGGCGGUCCACCAAGUUUGGGGUGACAGUUGUCGACUUAAUCGGCAAAGUGCCUCAAAGACUGGCGGACUUGAGGGCCACAGAGGGACAUGGAACUCCAGGUGUAGUGGUGAAAUGCGUAGAGAUCGGGAGGAACACCAGUGGCGAAGGCGGCUACCUGGACCAGCACUGACACUGAAGCACGAAAGCGUGGGGAGCAAACAGG